rnacentral:rRNA from 1 species
UACAGAGGGUGCGAGCGUUAAUCGGAAUUACUGGGCGUAAAGCGUGCGUAGACGGUUAUUUAAGUCGGGCGUGAAAUCCCCGGGCUCAACCCGGGAACUGCGUCCGAUACUGGGAGGCUUGAAUCCGGGAGAGGGAUGUGGAAUUCCAGGUGUAGCGGUGAAAUGCGUAGAUAUCUGGAGGAACACCGGUGGCGAAGGCGGCAUCCUGGACCGGUAUUGACGCUGAGGCGCGAAAGCCAGGGGAGCAAACGGG